rnacentral:tRNA from 1 species
GGGGAUGUAGCUCAGUGGGAGAGCGCCUGCCUUGCAAGCAGGAGGUCGGCGGUUCAAGUCCGCUCAUCUCCACCA